rnacentral:tRNA from 1 species
GGGCCAUUAGCUCAGUUGGUAGAGCACCGGACUUUUAAUCCGGGUGUCGGAGGUUCGAUCCCUCCAUGGCUCACCA